GCAUGAAGCUGGAAUCGCUAGUAAUCGCAGAUCAGAAUGCUGCGGUGAAUACGUUCCCGGGUCUUGUACACACCGCCCGUCACACCAUGGGAGUUGGAAAUGCCCGAAGUCAGUGACCGAACCGAAAGGAAGGAGCUGCCGAAGGUGGAGCCGAUGACUGGGGUGAAGUCGUAACAAGGUACC
rnacentral:rRNA from 1 species